UUGCCCUAGUAACGGCGAGUGAAGCGGCAACAGCUCAAAUUUGAAAUCUGGCUCUUUCAGAGUCCGAGUUGUAAUUUGCAGAGGGCGCUUUGGCUUUGGCAGCGGUCCAAGUUCCUUGGAACAGGACGUCACAGAGGGUGAGAAUCCCGUACGUGGUCGCUAGCUAUUGCCGUGUAAAGCCCCUUCGACGAGUCGAGUUGUUUGGGAAUGCAGCUCUAAAUGGGAGGUAAAUUUCUUCUAAAGCUAAAUAUUGGCCAGAGACCGAUAGCGCACAAGUAGAGUGAUCGAAAGAUGAAAAGCACUUUGGAAAGAGAGUCAAACAGCACGUGAAAUUGUUGAAAGGGAAGCGCUUGCAGCCAGACUUGCUUGCAGUUGCUCAUCCGGGCUUUUGCCCGGUGCACUCUUCUGCAGGCAGGCCAGCAUCAGUUUGGGCGGUGGGAUAAAGGUCUCUGACACGUUCCUUCCUUCGGGUUGGCCAUAUAGGGGAGACGUCAUACCACCAGCCUGGACUGAGGUCCGCGCAUCUGCUAGGAUGCUGGCG
rnacentral:rRNA from 3 species